UACGGAGGGUGCAAGCGUUAUCCGGAUUCACUGGGUUUAAAGGGUGCGUAGGUGGGCAGGUAAGUCAGUGGUGAAAUCUCCGGGCUUAACCCGGAAACUGCCAUUGCUACUAUCAGUCUUGAAUACCGUGGAGGUAAGCGGAAUAUGUCAUGUAGCGGUGAAAUGCUUAGAUAUGACAUAGAACACCAAUUGCGAAGGCAGCUUACUACCCGAAUAUUGACACUGAGGCACGAAAGCGUGGGGAUCAAACAGG
rnacentral:rRNA from 1 species